rnacentral:misc_RNA from 1 species
GGGGCUCAAUCCGGCGGUGGCUCCAGUGGUAGCUCCGUUAACAGCAGUGCUAUCACUGCAGGGGCGGUGAUUGGGGCGGUGCUCAUCGUCAUCAUUGUUGUGGGGGCCUUCCUCUACACCAAGCGACAACAAUUUGCUGCGGCAGGUUCUAGUCGGUCCUAUGAAAUGGGAGGCAUGAGUAACCCUAAUUAUGGGACAUCAGACACGUGAAAGGGAGAAAACUCCUGUCGAUAACUGAAUACCAGUGACUGUAUAAAUAGUGGAGAAUUGUAAUUGUGGCGUCAUUUCAUCCAUCAUUGUUAAUAUUUGAUUAAUGAUACUCAUUUGGAUCAUCAUUUACAUGUAAAAAUGCAUAAAUGUUGACUUACCAAUACUCAGUAAGAAUUCAUAAUACUCCUGUCAAUAUAUUAAUUUAAUAAUUAAAUGUAGUAUGCGUGUAUUUAAUAAAGAUUUUAAAAAACA